CCUACGGGAGGCUGCAGUGGGGAAUAUUGCACAAUGGGCGCAAGCCUGAUGCAGCCAUGCCGCGUGUGUGAAGAAGGCCUCCGGGUUGUAAAGCACUUUCAGCGGGGAGGAAGGCGGUGAGGUUAAUAACCUCAUCGAUUGACGUUACCCGCAGAAGAAGCACCGGCUAACUCCGUGCCAGCAGCCGCGGUAAUACGGAGGGUGCAAGCGUUAAUCGGAAUUACUGGGCGUAAAGCGCACGCAGGCGGUCUGUCAAGUCGGAUGUGAAAUCCCCGGGCUCAACCUGGGAACUGCAUUCGAAACUGGCAGGCUAGAGUCUUGUAGAGGGGGGUAGAAUUCCAGGUGUAGCGGUGAAAUGCGUAGAGAUCCGGAGGAAUACCGGUGGCGAAGGCGGCCCCCUGGACAAAGACUGACGCUCAGGUGCGAAAGCGUGGGGAGCAAACAGGAUUAGAUACCCGUGUAGUC
rnacentral:rRNA from 1 species